rnacentral:rRNA from 1 species
GACGAACGCUGGCGGCGUGCUUAACACAUGCAAGUCGAACGGAAAGGCCCUGCUUUUGUGGGGUGCUCGAGUGGCGAACGGGUGAGUAACACGUGAGUAACCUGCCCUUGACUUUGGGAUAACUUCAGGAAACUGGGGCUAAUACCGGAUAGGAGCUCCUGCUGCAUGGUGGGGGUUGGAAAGUUUCGGCGGUUGGGGAUGGACUCGCGGCUUAUCAGCUUGUUGGUGGGGUAGUGGCUUACCAAGGCUUUGACGGGUAGCCGGCCUGAGAGGGUGACCGGCCACAAUGGGACUGAGAUACGGCGCAGACGCCUACGGGAGGCAGCAGUGGGGAAUAUGGCACAAUGGGCGGAAGCCUGAUGCAGCAACGCCGCGUGCGGGAUGACGGCCUUCGGGUUGUAAACCGCUUUCGCCUGUGACGAAGCGUGAGUGACGGUAAUGGGUAAAGAAGCACCGGCUAACUACGUG